UACAGAGGGUGCGAGCGUUAAUCGGAAUUACUGGGCGUAAAGCGUGCGUAGACGGCUAUCUAAGUCGGGUGUGAAAGCCCCGGGCUCAACCUGGGAAUUGCAUUCGAGACUGAAUAGCUAGGGUACGGUAGAGGGAAGCGGAAUUUCCGGUGUAGCGGUGAAAUGCGUAGAUAUCGGGAAGAACACCUAUGGCGAAGGCAGCUCUCGUGGGACGGUACUGACGCUGAGACGCGAAAGCGUGGGGAGCGAACAGG
rnacentral:rRNA from 1 species